UACGUAGGGGGCAAGCGUUGUCCGGAAUCAUUGGGCGUAAAGAGCGCGUAGGCGGCCCUGUAAGUCCGCUGUGAAAGUCAAGGGCUCAACCCUUGAAUGCCGGUGGAUACUGCAGGGCUAGAGUCCGGAAGAGGCGAGUGGAAUUCUCGGUGUAGCGGUGAAAUGCGUAGAUAUCGAGAGGAACACCUGCGGCGAAGGCGGGUUGCUGGGCUGACACUGACGCUGAGGCGCGAAAGCUAGGGGAGCGAACAGG
rnacentral:rRNA from 1 species